UACGUAGGGGGCUAGCGUUGUCCGGAAUCAUUGGGCGUAAAGAGCGUGUAGGCGGCCCGGUAAGUCCGCUGUGAAAGUCGGGGGGCUCAACCCUCGAAUGCCGGUGGAUACUGUCGGGCUAGAGUCCGGGAGAGGUGAGUGGAACUGCGAGUGUAGAGGUGAAAUUCGUAGAUAUUCGCAAGAACACCGGUGGCGAAGGCGGCCAACUGGACCAUUACUGACGCUGAGGCGCGAAAGCGUGGGGAGCAAACAGG
rnacentral:rRNA from 1 species